UUUAGUUAUUCCAGUUACUAACUUGCGAUUGGGUUCUCGAAAAUAAGACACAGCUUUGGGAGGCAGAGUUCAAAAGAGCGGAUUACACAAUACCACAGCAAGUUUCAGGUGAUUAUUUGGAGAAUUUUCAAAAGGAUCUUAAUUCGAUGCGCUACGUCAUAGACGACUUGGAAAUUCACAAGCAGACAUCUCUUUAAUCAAGAUUUCCAGUUAAGCAAGAAAUUCCGCAAUUAACAGUAGUGAUACGAUAAACAUCACUGGUGUAACACCAGAAACGGUUACAACAUUGGGAACCACCAACUACAAUAAAUUAAACUCUACGCAGAAGGAAGCCAUGGCGGAGUUCAUGGCCGAACACCCUGACUUGGCAAAGAAUAUACUCCCAAACUGCUCGCAGGGAAAAGCAACGGCCAACCGUUUGUGGGAAAACCUCACCAAACAAUUACAUGUGGUGGACCUUUUCAGGAGUCAUGGGCUGCACCUCUAUAUUCACAAUUUAUGGCAAGAAUCUUGCAAGUGUGGUCACAAAUCUGGCAAACGGAAUAUUAGCAAUAAAAUGUUAAAAUGAAAGAAGAGAAACUUACUAGCAUAACGUUAAGACUAUGGUAACCUUUCCUGUUGAAGUACAUGUGCUCGUCUCUAAUUGGCUUUUGUAAUCCCAUGUGUGUUCCGUCUACGCAUCCAACCACUAAAAGGAAAAACAUUGGAUUCACUACGCAUUUCAUCAGAACUCCUCUUGCUACCCCAGACGUUGGACGUCAAUUUUGAUACCGUGCUCUGGCACAUACCUAUCAGGUGAUCGCUACCAACUGUUUGCUGAUAGCUACCACUUGCAAGGAGCGAGAAGCUUGCAGCCAAUUGCAAAGCAGCAGGAACGGCUUUUGUGUCAUCGCAGUUUAUGUUUGUUUUCGAUAAAACAUACUGGAAUAUCUCCUUGCUUAACCGAAAUAUUUUUGGUGAAUCUGCAAGUAUAGGAGUAGAGAAGGUAAUUUAUUUCCUAUGUAUAAUUACUUACGCGUUGUCGGAUAAUGCGAAUGGAUUGCUUCUGCCCCGAAGUUGCUUACGCACAACUCUUUCGUCAUUUUCGCUUUCGCUAGAGCUUAAAUAAAAUAAAAGGCUCGGAUCCAUUUUAGUUUUGCCGCUUUUCUUUAUU